UAUACAUGUAUCUGCAAUAUAUAUAUAAAUCCUCCUUCCUGUGUCGGGGCACUCGGUAUUUUCUAUUCUACCCAGUUCUGUCUCGCUCCACUCUAUUUUUGUAUUUAAAAACAUCUAAUCAAAAGCCCCUAUUACUGAUGUCACAUCAGCCUGGAAGGCACCACAAAAGCCCCUAGUUCACGACACUUACCUUUCAGAAGGCUUAUGAGGCCCUUCUUAGAGGAAAUCGAGUUGCCUAAGUAACUAAUUUCCCUUCGUGAAAGAAACGGAAUGUUCAGUGCAGAUGAACUUGACCUGAGCUGUGGAAGCGGCGCCUGGCCCCGCUGUGAAGUGCGGGUGGCCUCCUGGAGUCCCACAGGCGCCCCCCACACCUGGGGACCCUCCGAGGGGUCCCUUGUGCCCUCGAGCAGAGCAGGCGGUGAGCAGGCGGCUAGCGGCUGCAGCAAAGGAGCCCCGCGGGUGCGACCCGCUCCUGGGGCCUCCCAGGCUCCGCGUCAGCAGCGCCUCCUCUCGUACAGGAGCUCGGAGCCCGGGGGAGCGCUGACUCGGGUCCGCGGGUCCACCCAGAGAUGGGCAGACGGGGGUCAACUCGCGGUCUGGGGCAGGAGGAGGGGGGCGGUGGGAGCCUCUUGGGCAGGGGGAGGGAAGAGAAGCUGAGGGGUGGGGUGAGGCAAGGAUGGGCAGACACAGCCGGGGAGGAAGAGGAGCACAGGCCUGGGGGCGCCCGGACCACGUGGGCGGGUGGCGAGCCUGCGCUGAGUGCGCGCACGCGCGUGCACGAGCGGAUGAGCCGCAGUACCGGUACGUGCCUGUAGGGGGAGCCAGCAUUCGCUUGAGAAAACUUGUCCUUGUGAAUUCUUUCGCUGCCCCUUGGAGAUGCAUUUCAGUCUCUCCAAGAAGGGACUGGAGGAUGGGCUGUGAGAGCCGAUGGUGGGUGCCGUCCCCCAGGCCUACUCCUUCGUCUGGAGACUCCGAACCAGGGGGCUGCCCCUGCGUGGCGGGUGAACGGUGAGGUUGCCAGCGCCCUUGCCAUCCCUCCCAUGCACCCACACUCCGGUUCAGUGCUGAUUCAAUAAUGUAAUUUGAUGAAGUUUUGGGGUGAUGGUGGAGUGGUCUGUAGCCGACGACCAAGAAAGAAUUCUUGAGGACGUCUUGGUGCAAAAAAGAGUGAUUUUAUUAAAGCACGGGGGCAGGACCUGUGGGUAGGAAGAGCUGCACUGGGGUUGUGACAAGUAACUCAUUAUACACCCUCAGGUUGGGAGGGGAUCAGGGAUAGAGUCUCUAAGGUAUUUUCGAAGCAAGGUUUCCAGGACCUUGAGGGGCUAACCGUUGCUACGGAAACACCAUUUAUUACUGUUUCAUAAACCUCACUCGCGAGGUUUCAGAUGCAUAUCCAGGGCCAUAAGCUUGGAGUAUGAUUGCCAGCAUAUAUCCUGGGGCAGUUGAGACAAAGGAAGCUUCCCAAGGAAUUUUUAUAUGUUAAAGUAGACUUACAGGAGGGGGGAUUGGAGGGGGUGGGAGGGGGCCAGGACAAUGUUAAGCCAAGGUUCCCUUUUGUCCCCAGCAAAGUGUCAUCAUUGAGGCAGCUGAGCUCCUAGAGGGAGGUCACUCUGCCGGUUUCAAGGACUUGUCAAUGGGCUGUAGGCAGUAAGGGAACUUAGUUUUUAUUUGCCUUAGUUUUCCACAUCCCCAUGGCAAGCACUUAAACCCCUUUCCUUUGUUCUUGGGCAGCCAGGAGUGUCUGAGGAAUAUCCCACAGAUCCCACCGGGGAGUGUGGGAGGUGCCAGCCUGUAUUUUGCCCUCAGCGACGCCCCCCCCCCACCCCAUGCUCCCUCAUCAUAUCCCCCUGAACAAUUUUGACCCUUAAAUCUUUCAGGUUGCUGAAGGUAGAAGGUCUCAUCUUCUGUAGCUUCUUCCUGCUGAGAAGGGGUGUAGAGACGUCCCUACCUACAUGGGUCCAUAUCGGUCAGGUGAGGAAUGCAUGAAGGAAUCACAAAAAGCAGAGGCAGCUGAAUCCAACAUGGACAGUAAGGUGGUGUCUCUGUGGGUAAGGAUCGUCUGUCGUCGAGAAGCCAUUGCAGCGAUGGGAUCUCUGCACCAAGCAAAAGGACACGGGAGAAAACAGCAAAACCUAAUUCGAAUGACUAGAAAGAUUAGCUCGAAUAAAAGUUCUUUGGUAGUUGACAAG